GAUGAACGCUGGCGGCGUGCCUAAUACAUGCAAGUCGAGCGAACGGACGAGAAGCUUGCUUUUCUGAUGUUAGCGGCGGACGGGUGAGUAACACGUGGAUAACCUACCUAUAAGACUGGGAUAACUUCGGGAAACCGGAGCUAAUACCGGAUAAUAUUUUGAACCGCAUGGUUCAAAAGUGAAAGACGGUCUUGCUGUCACUUAUAGAUGGAUCCGCGCUGCAUUGGCUAGUUGGUAAGGUAACGGCUUACCAAGGCAACGAUGCAUAGCCGACCUGAGAGGGUGAUCGGCCACACUGGAACUGAGACACGGUCCAGACGCCUACGGGAGGCAGCAGUAGGGAAUCUUCCGCAAUGGGCGAAAGCCUGACGGAGCAACGCCGCGUGAGUGAUGAAGGUCUUCGGAUCGUAAAACUCUGUUAUUAGGGAAGAACAUAUGUGUAAGUAACUGUGCACAUCUUGACGGUACCUAAUCAGAAAGCCACGGCUAACUACGU
rnacentral:rRNA from 1 species